rnacentral:rRNA from 1 species
GACGAACGCUGGCGGCGUGCUUAACACAUGCAAGUCGAACGGAAAGGCCCUGCUUUUGUGGGGUUCUCGAGUGGCGAACGGGUGAGUAACACGUGAGUAACCUGCCCUUGACUUUGGGAUAACUUCAGGAAACUGGGGCUAAUACCGGAUAGGAGCUCCUGCUGCAUGGUGGGGGUUGGAAAGUUUCGGCGGUUGGGGAUGGACUCGCGGCUUAUCAGCUUGUUGGUGGGGUAGUGGCUUACCAAGGCUUUGACGGGUAGCCGGCCUGAGAGGGUGACCGGCCACAUUGGGACUGAGAUACGGACCAGACUCCUACGGGAGGCAGCAGUGGGGAAUAUUGCACAAUGGGGGGAAGCCUGAUGCAGAAACGCCGCGUGCGGGAUGACGGCCUUCGGGUUGUAAACCGCUUUCGCAUGUGACGAAGCGUGAGUGACGGUAAUGGGUAAAGAAGCACCGGCUAACUACGUG